CUUCUAACGUUAAUAUAUGACUGCCCGUACUGUAAACCGACACAGGUGGUCAGGAUGAGAAAUCUAAGGCGGACAGGCUAACUCUCGUUAAGGAACUCUGCAAAAUAACCUCGUAACUUCGGGAGAAGAGGAGCCCUUGAGGGUCAGUAUCCACGCGAUACAAAGCGCUCGAGGGUCGCAGUGAAGAGGCUCAAGCAACUGUUUAACAAAAACACAGGUCUAUGCUAAGCUGGAAGGCGAUGUAUAUGGGCUGACACCUGCCCAGUGCUGGAAGGUUAAGAGGAGGAGUGAGAGCUCCGAAUUGAAGCCCCAGUGAACGGCGGCCGUAACUAUAACGGUCCUAAGGUAGCGAAAUUCCUUGUCGGGUAAGUUCCGACCUGCACGAAUGGUGUAAUGAUUUGAGCGCUGUCUUGACGGGAGGCCUGGUGAAAUUGUAUUACCGGUGAAGAUACCGGUUACCUACAGUAGGACGGAAAGACCCCAUGGAGCUUUACUGUAGCUUGGUAUUGGGUUUUGGCAUUGCAUGUAUAGGAUAGUUGGGAGACUAUGAUGAUAUGGCGCUAGCUGUAUCGGAGUCAUCGGUGGAAUACCAACCAUUCAAUGCUGAAAUUCUAAUCUGUGGUUUGUAGCCACGGAGACAGUGCUAGGUGGGCAGUUUGACUGGGGCGGUCGCCUCCGAAAGAGUAACGGAGGCGUUCAAAGGUUCUCUCAGGUUGGAUGGAAAUCAACCAUAGAGUGCAAUGGCAUAAGAGAGCUUGACUGCAAGACUGACGGGUCGAGCAGAUGCGAAAGCAGGACAUAGUGAUCCGGCGAUUCCGAAUGGAAGGGUCGUCGCUCAACGGAUAAAAGCUACCCUGGGGAUAACAGGCUGAUCCUACCCGAGAGUCCAUAUCGACGGUAGGGUUUGGCACCUCGAUGUCGGCUCAUCGCAUCCUGGGGCUGGAGAAGGUCCCAAGGGUUGGGCUGUUCGCCCAUUAAAGCGGUACGUGAGCUGGGUUCAGAACGUCGUGAGACAGUUCGGUCCCUAUCCACUGUAGGCGUUAGAAUAUUGAGAAGACCUGUCCUUAGUACGAGAGGACCGGGAUGGACAAACCUCUGAUGUACCAGUUGUCACGCCAGUGGCACAGCUGGGUAGUCACGUUUGGAAUAGAUAACCGCUGAAAGCAUCUAAGCGGGAAACUAACUUCAAGAUAAGUAUUCUUUAAGAUACCUUCGAGCCUAGGAGGUUGAUAGGUUGGGGGUGUAAGU
rnacentral:rRNA from 1 species